rnacentral:ncRNA from 2 species
CCAGGUACCCACGGGAGCGCCAACCGAAGGCGCUGAGAGGACGGCUGCGGCCGUCGACCGUACGAACCUGACCGGGUCAUGCCGGCGUAGGAAGAGGAUGUGAGAUGAGU